AUGCCAAAGAAGACGGCU
rnacentral:misc_RNA from 1 species